rnacentral:lncRNA from 1 species
CCAAUUCUGUGAAGAAAGUCAUUGGUAGCUUGAUGGGGAUGGCAUUGAAUCUGUAAAUUACCUUGGGCAGUAUGGCCAUUUUCAUGAUAUUGAUUCUUCCUACCCAUGAGCAUGGAAUGUUCUUCCAUUUGUAUCCUCUUUUAUUUCCUUGAGCAGUGGUUUGUAGUUCUCCUUGAAGAGGUCCUUCACAUCCCUUGUAAGUUGGAUUCCUAGGUAUUUUAUUCUCUUUGAAGCAAUUGUGAAUGGGAGUUCACUCAUGAUUUGGCUCUCUGUUUGUCUGUUAUUGGUGUAUAAGAAUGCUUGUGAUUUUUGUACAUUGAUUUUGUAUCCUGAGGCUUUGCUGAAGUUGCUUAUCAGCUUAAGGAGAUUUUGGGCUGAGACAAUGGGGUUUUCUAGAUAUACAAUCAUGUCGUCUGCAAACAGGGACAAUUUGACUUCCUCUUUUCCUAAUUGAAUACCCUUUAUUUCCUUCUCCUGCCUGAUUGCCCUGGCCAGAACUUCCAACACUAUGUUGAAUAGGAAUGGUGGAAGAGGACC